rnacentral:tRNA from 1 species
ACCAGUGUGGUGUAGUGGUCUGACUAUUGGAUUAUGACUCUGGAGACUAGGGUUCAAAUCCCUGCUUUGCCA